AUGGUGGGAGAUUGCCUUCCACUACACAUAAGUAUGGUCAAGUAUGAAAUAGUGUUUUAUCCACAACCUGCACAACUCCAGGCUGGUGGAACACUUGGCAUGUUUUCAGCCUCAGUCUUUCUACUGAAAGUACUAGAAAAGGUUUCUCAUUAACCUUGUGAAGCAAAAGCCACAAAUAACAGAGGAACAACUUGAGGCUGUCAUUGCAGAUUUCUCAGGCCUGUUGGAGAAAUGCUGCCAAGGCCAGGAACAGGAAGUCUGCUUUGCUGAAGAGGGACAAAAACUGAUUUCAAAAACUCGUGCUGCUUUGGGAGUUUAAAUUACUUCAGGGGAAGAGAAGACAAAACGAGUCUUUCAUUCGGUGUGAACUUUUCUCUUUAAUUUUAACUGAUUUAACACUUUCUGUGAAUUAAUGAAAUGAUAAAGACUUUUAUGUGAGAUUUCCUUAUCAUAGAAAUAAAAUAUCUCCAAAUGUU
rnacentral:sRNA from 1 species